rnacentral:lncRNA from 1 species
AGUAGUCUUUACUUUAGUACUUGUAUGAUUUACAACAAAAAUUUCUAAAAUUGGCCGUUUAUAGAUUUAUACAUUAUCAAGAAACAAAGGUAUGAACUCCCUCAGGCAAAGUUUGAUACACUUGCGGAAGAAACGUCCACCAACAGUGGCAACACCAAUUGGUUAUAUAUAACUCAACGUAGGUACAAGGCUAAAUUUGGUACGACGCAAGGAUGUUUUGUCUACA